rnacentral:tRNA from 1 species
UGUGGCUCAGUGGUAGAGCACUUGUCUAGUGCCCAUGAAGCCCUACGUUCAAUUCUUAGCA